CCUACGGGAGGCAGCAGUGGGGAAUAUUGGACAAUGGGCGCAAGCCUGAUCCAGCCAUACCGCGUGGGUGAAGAAGGCCUUCGGGUUGUAAAGCCCUUUUGUUGGGAAAGAAAUCCAGCUGGCUAAUACCCGGUUGGGAUGACGGUACCCAAAGAAUAAGCACCGGCUAACUUCGUGCCAGCAGCCGCGGUAAU
rnacentral:rRNA from 2 species